rnacentral:rRNA from 1 species
AUUGAACGCUGGCGGCAUGCUUUACACAUGCAAGUCGGACGAGUGGCGAACGGGUGAGUAACGCAUCGGCACGUACCGGGUAGAGGGGGAUAACUAUCCGACAGUACAGCUAAUACCGCAUAUUAUACGAUCGGCCGGAGUCUGAUUAGCUGGUUGGCGGGGUAAAGGCCCACCAAGGCGACGAUCAGUAGCGGGUCUGAGAGGAUGAACAGUCACACUGGGACUGAGACACGGUCCAGACUCCUACGGGAGGCAGCAGUGGGGAAUAUUGGACAAUGGGCGCAAGCCUGAUCCAGCCAUGCCGCGUGUCUGAAGAAGGCCUUCGGGUUGUAAAGGACUUUUGGUAGGGAAGCGUUACCAAAAGAAUAAGCACCGGCUAACUACGUGCCAGCAGCCGCGGUAAUUC